rnacentral:rRNA from 1 species
AGAGUUUGAUCAUGGCUCAGAAUGAACGCUGGCGGCGUGCUUAACACAUGCAAGUCGAGCGAAAAGCCCUUCGGGGUGAGUAAGCGGCGAACGGGUGAGUAAUACACAGGUACCUGCCCCUCAGUGAGGAAUACCCUCGGGAAAUCGAGGUUAAUACUGCAUACGUCCCUACGGGGAGAAAGGCGGCUUUUAUGCUGUCGCUGAAGGAUGGGCUUGUGGGCUAUCAGCUAGUUGGUGGGGUAAAGGCUCACCAAGGCUAUGACGGCUAGCCGGCCUGAGAGGGUGUACGGCCACACUGGAACUGAGACACGGUCCAGACUCCUACGGGAGGCAGCAGUGGGGAAUAUUGCGCAAUGGGCGAAAGCCUGACGCAGCGACGCCGCGUGGAGGAUGAAGGUUUUCGGAUUGUAAACUCCUGUUAAGUGGGAAGAAAAGCCUGUUUUUAAUACAGGCAGGUUAUGACGGUACCACUAGAGAAAGCACCGGCUAACUUCGUGCCAGCAGCCGCGGUAAUACGAGGGGUGCAAGCGUUAUUCGGAAUAAUUGGGCGUAAAGGGUGCGUAGACGGCCUGUUAAGUCUGUUGUUAAAUUCUCCGGCUCAACCGGGGGGCUGCAAUGGAAACUGGCGGACUAGAGGGUGAGAGAGAGAAGUGGAAUUCCCCGGAGUAGCGGUAAAAUGCGUAGAUCUCGGGAGGAACACCGAUGGCGAAGGCAGCUUCUUGGCUCAUUCCUGACGUUGAUGCACGAAAGCGUGGGGAGCAAACAGGAUUAGAUACCCUAGUAGUCC